rnacentral:rRNA from 1 species
GUUCGGRGUGCGGACUCGCGGCCCACCUCCCACCCGUGUCUCUCUCUACCUGUUGCUUUGGCGGGCCCACCGGGGCCACCCGGUCGCCGGGGGACGUCCGUCUCCGGGCCCGCGCCCGCCGAAGCGCUCUGUGAACCCUGAUGAAGAUGGGCUGUCUGAGUCGAAUGAAAAUUGUCAAAACUUUCAACAAUGGAUCUCUUGGUUCCGGCAUCGAUGAAGAACGCAGCGAAAUGCGAUAAGUAAUGUGAAUUGCAGAAUUCCGUGAAUCAUCGAAUCUUUGAACGCACAUUGCGCCCCCUGGCAUUCCGGGGGGCAUGCCUGUCCGAGCGUCAUUUCUGCCCUCAAGCCCGGCUUGUGUGUUGGGUGUGGUCCCCCCGGGGACCUGCCCGAAAGGCAGCGGCGACGUCCGUCUGGUCCUCGAGCGUAUGGGGCUUUGUCACUCGCUCGGGACGGAUCGGCGGAGGUUGGUCACCACCACAGUUUUACCACGGUUGACCUCGGAUCAGGUAGGAGUUACCCGCUGAACUUAAGCAUAUCAAAARCCGG